AUUGAACGCUGGCGGCAUGCCUUACACAUGCAAGUCGAACGGCAGCGGACCUUCGGGUGCCGGCGAGUGGCGAACGGGUGAGUAAUAUAUCGGAACGUACCUUUCAGUGGGGGAUAACGUAGCGAAAGUUACGCUAAUACCGCAUAUUCUGUGAGCAGGAAAGCAGGGGAUCGCAAGACCUUGCGCUGAUUGAGCGGCCGAUAUCAGAUUAGCUAGUUGGUGAGGUAAAGGCUCACCAAGGCGACGAUCUGUAGCGGGUCUGAGAGGAUGAUCCGCCACACUGGAACUGAGACACGGUCCGA
rnacentral:rRNA from 1 species